rnacentral:rRNA from 1 species
AUACGGAGGAUCCGAGCGUUAUCCGGAUUUAUUGGGUUUAAAGGGAGCGUAGGCGGACUAUUAAGUCAGCUGUGAAAGUUUGCGGCUCAACCGUAAAAUUGCAGUUGAUACUGGUCGUCUUGAGUGCAGUAGAGGUAGGCGGAAUUCGUGGUGUAGCGGUGAAAUGCUUAGAUAUCACGAAGAACUCCGAUUGCGAAGGCAGCUUACUGGACUGUAACUGACGCUGAUGCUCGAAAGUGUGGGUAUCAAACAGGAUUAGAUACCCUGGUAGUCCACACAGUAAACGAUGAAUACUCGCUGUUUGCGAUAUACGGCAAGCGGCCAAGCGAAAGCAUUAAGUAUUCCACCUGGGGAGUACGCCAGCAACGGUGAAACUCAAAGGAAUUGACGGGG